rnacentral:rRNA from 1 species
ACACGACUACAUUACGAUACCCCGGUAGUCCCAGCCCUAAACGAUGCGCGUUAGGUGUAUCGGUGACCACGAGUCACCGAGGUGCCGAAGGGAAACCGUGAAACGUGCCGCCUGGGAAGUACGGUCGCAAGGCUGAAACUUAAAGGAAUUGCGGGGGAGCACCACAAGAGGUGGAGGCUGCGGUUCAAUUGGACUCAACGCCGGAAACUCAUCGGGAGCGACAGCAGUAUGAUUGCCAGGUUGAUGACCUUGCUUGACAAGCUG